GACGAACGCUGGCGGCGUGCUUAACACAUGCAAGUCGAGCGGUGCGGCGAACGGGUGAGUAACGCGUGAGUAACUGCCCCCCUCUCUGGGAUAACAGUUGGAAACGGCUGCUAAUACCGGAUAGUGGGGGAUGGCUCGGGUCCUAUCAGCUUGUCGGUGGGGUAGUGGCCUACCAAGGCGACGACGGGUAGCCGGCCUGAGAGGGCGACCGGCCCCAGUGGGCUGGGAUAGGUGCCAAACUCCAACGGGGGGCAGAAGUGGGGAAUAUUGCACAAUGGGGGAAACCCUGAGGCAGCAACGCCGCGUGCGGGAUGACGGUCGUCGGGUUGUAAACCGCUUUCAGCCAUGAAGCGGUAGUGGCAGAAGAAGCACCGGCUAACUCCGUGCCAGCAGCCGCGGUAAUUC
rnacentral:rRNA from 1 species